GGAAAGCAGCCUAAAGACAGCAAAAACCAAAUGGAAAUGGCGACCGCGAAUCUCAACAUGGAAGCAGAAAUGCACCUUCAAGAGUUGUGCCUAACAAGGGAUUCAGGCAAGAAUCUAUCUUGUCUUUUCAAGACAUCAACAUUCAGUAACAACAAGGAUGACAGAGAAAGAAUUAUUGUUCGCAGAUUCAAACUAGACGAAUUGCGUGUAGAGGAAAUUCAAGAUCUUGAGAUUUUUAGUAAGGGACUAUGCUUACUUCAAAAAGAAUGAUGUCAUGAAUACUUUCGAGAGGAUCUGCAUCGGAGGCUCUUAAGUGCUGACUUCAAAAAUCAAGUUGAUGGCAUUGAGAUGUUGCAAAAGGCUCUUCCCCCAUGGGAAGGGAGGUGAUUGAAGUCUUAUAUAUACUCUUAAAGUGGUUUGUGUUGAGGUUUGUGAAUUCAACACAUAAUGCUUAUUAAAGUACUUGAAUUUCUUCCCGAGCUUUUGGAUCUUUGGGAAAUGAGGGGCUACACUGUUACAAAAGCAGAGACAACCAUCGUUCUUCCUUGCUUGGAUGAGAAGUCUGGACAUAACAUUGAAAAAGUUCGAGAAAAUUGCGGGAACUGAUGAAACAAGUCAUACAAACAUAUUCUGCUCCCAAAUUAUGGGAUGAAAGUUGUGUGCCAUGAAUUGGCUUAAGCAACUGCUGACCCCAAGGGCAGCACAAUGGAAGAAAUACAGAAUGAUGCUGAUUAACUAGUUUCAUGCCCGAACAAGAGGCUUGCUUAUGGAGAUAAGGAGAGUACUAGUCUCAUCUUACACGAAACUGUUGCUAUGGCUUUUGGAUGAUAGGGUUCCACGGAUGGAUGAUGGAACUCAACUUUUGAGAGCUUUUAAUGCUCUGAUGUUAAAGGUUCUGGUGCAGGAUAAUGCAUAGCAUAAUUGGUCAUUUGUUGUGCUUAUAAAUCUGUUAAGACCUUUGGAUCCAUUAAGAUGGCCUUCUCCAGCAUCAAAUGAGUCUCUAGCAAUCAGAAACCAGAAAUUCUGCGAUUUGGUUGUUUAAUGUUUGAUCAAGCUCACUAAUGUAUUAUAUCUUGAUCUGUUUUAUCUUGUUUAUUUUUUCUUUUAAUUAUGUAUUGGUCUUAUAUUAUUGAUGUAGUGAAUCUUCCUUUUGUAAGAAUGUUAUGUUGCAUAGUUUGACGACAUUGUUUGAAAGCAUUUGCAUAGUCUUACUUAAUUGAUUGAUAGUUGUUUUAACUUUUGGAGAUCUAUGUAGGUGCUUCACUCUUAGUUUUUGUAUGCCCCCCCCCCCAAAUUUAUGGUUUUGCAUCGUGGGUUCAUUGUAGCCCACUUUUUUUGUAAGUCAAUUGGUGUCUUUUGAUCAUUUCAUAGAUGAUCAUUUUUCAAUAUAAUUUUAUCCUUCCUUUGUAUUUCUUGAGGAAUUAUAUUCUGGUUAGUUAAUAUGCUCCUGUUUAUGAAAUUGUUUGUUUUUCUAUUUUCUGGUUAGUUAAUAUACUUAAAUAUUUUAUAGAUUUAGCAACUUAAGUACAUGGUAAUGUUCUGUCUUAGUUAUUAUUUGUCCAUUAUUUACAAAUUUAUGGAGUCAAGAAAUCUGCUUGUUUUGAAUUUUUCUUUUGCUUUCAAGAUAAAUCUUUAUCCAUUCCUUUGCCAUUGUUUGAAGCGAAAUAGUAUCUAAGUAGUAGAUUAAUCCUCAUAUCAUGCCUUUUUAUUUUUAUUUUUAUUUUUCUUGAUAUUCUCUUUGCUUCAUCUGGUGAAUAUUUAUAUACUCCUUUAUUUAUUGGUCUUUUCUAAAAAUGCUAGAUAUUACUAUUAUAUACAUGUUGUCUUUGGUUCUUUGAUGUUAGAGUAUUGCGCUUACUGUGAUUCUUUUGUAUGAAUUGCAUUGGUAGAUGGGGCUGCUUUUUGAAAAUUGUUAUCUUGCUACUAUGUUUUUUGUUUCAGCUAUUGUGUCUUUAAAGACCAGAUUGAAUAACAAACGAAUUUGGAUCCAUCUGUUGAGAUGCUGAUCCUUUUACUGUGUUAUUCCUGGCUGGAAUGAGAAAAAUGUUCAGGUGUUGCAUCCAGGAAUUAACUGCAUCUGGUGAACAGGAAUUUACCGUUUUUUGCUUUUCUUGAAGAUAUAAAGGUAUUUCUGCAUUAAACCUGCUUUACUACGAGGCAUCUGCACUCCAAAGAAGGUUGUUAAAGUAACUUAUUUUACAUCAUUUGCGGUGACUGGUGGCAUGGAUUGUCUUCCAUGUGAAGAUAUCAGUGAAAAGAUCACCCCCACUUUCUUUUAGAGAGUUCUGAUUGGAAGGUCCGCUUGGAAUCUAUUGAAAGUGUGACCAAAAUUCUGGAAGAGGUGAACAAACGUGUUCUGCUGGCUGGAACUGGAGAUCUAUUUGGAGCUAUAAAAGGGCGUCUACACGACACUAACGAAAAUUUGAUUAUUGCUACUUUAUCCACAAUUGGUGCUCUCUUAUACUAUUAGUUAUUGGUUUAUUAAGAGUCUCUUGCGCUAACUAACUGAGAUUCACAAUACCAAUAUUAUAAAUACUUGGGAUCAUUUAACAAAUCCCGAAUUCCUCAAAGCCAAUAGCUGUACAUAUGCGUGAGUGGUCAUUGAGUACCUUAGAUACUUGGCUCUGCUCAUCCCAAUAAAAUGCUGUUCUCACAGACGCUAGGAUAAAUCAGCAAAUGUUCGUAAAGCGGCUGAAGCAUACUUUAAUGUAUUGAGGGUUUGUGGACAAGAAACGGUAUCCAAGAAUUUGAGAGAUAUACAAGGUUCUGCUUUAGCUAUUAUUGGCAAACAACUGAAGCCAUAUUGAGCUUUUCAAGAUAAUUAUGAAUCUGGUGGAUAUGUUUUGUUAAGCAUCACGGCAGAAAUCAUCCUAAAGACAGCAAAACCAAAUGGUCAUGGUGACCGCGAAUCUUGGCAUGGAAGUAGAAAUGCACCUUCAGAGUUGGCACCUAACAAGGGAUUCAUGCAAGAAUCCAUCUUGUCUGUUCAAGACAUCGAUAUUCAGUCAUUAGUUUUGAUCAGCAAGGAUGACAGGGAAAUGAUUAUUGUUUGCAGAUUCAAAUUCGAAGAAUUGCAUAUAGAGCACAUUCAAGAUCUUUCGUUUUGAGAUAAGGUACUUAAAUUUCAUCCCGGGCUUCUGGAUCUGUUGAAAAAUGAUGGCUACACUAUGACAGAAGCAGAGGCAACCCAUCUUUCUUCCUUGCUUGGUUGAGAAGGAGAAAUUGAAGGAGAAGAAACCUACUUCAAUGGAGGCCCUUACCCAAACCCUUCAAGCAAUGCACAAGUCUGGAUGCUUGAGUCUAACUGACAUAGUUGAAGGUCUAAAAGCUGGAUAAAGAACAUUCGUUGUACGAACCAUAGUAAAGAACACAUCUUUUUUGUACCUUGAGUAACUAUGCAUCUAUUGGCUCAAACAAUAGGUGUGGUUCAAUCUUCAAGAGGAGUAAUGACCACGGAUCACUAUUCGAUUGUUAUAGUGGAGGAAACGAGUGUAUUGUCGUCGAGUUGCUAACCAUGAUCUUCACCAUCUUUUGAAGAGGAACGUGUCUAUUGUUGCUGAAUCAUCGACCACGAUCUUCACCAUCUUAUGUCGGUUAGAUUUACUUUUAUCGACCACGAUCUUCACCAUCUUAUGUCGGUUAGAUUUACUUUUAUUAUCAGUUAGUUGAUUUUUUUUAUUAGACCUUGGUUUGUUGUUUACAAUUGUUGUUCCAAAAUGAAAAGAUUUUUGGAAAAACCUAGUAAUUCAUCUUUUAAAAUACCACAACGACGUGAGCUUGUUUUGCCAUCUUUAGAGUCAAUGGUACAAUUUGAAACAUAGAAGAAGAGAAAGACGAACAAGAAGCAAUUGCAGGAUCUCAAACUUCUACUUAUGCUAAAAAACCACCAAUUAAGAUCUAAGACUAGUAAGGUGUGGAAUUAUUUUGUUUUAAAGGAUGAUAAAGCAAAGUGCAUGAUAUGCAAAAAUGAUUUCUCCUUUAAACUUAAUAGUGGUACGGGUACUCUAACUAGACAUCUAAAUAAUCAGCACAAAAAUUAGGAGGAUAAUGACUUGUUAGACGAUAGUCGAUAACAAAUUUUAGAUGUUUCUAGUGGCACCGUUGCAAAUCAUGCUUAUAAACAAGAUGAGGUGAGGGCUGAAUUGGCUAAAUUGAUUAUAGGAGCUGAACUCCCCUUUAGUUUGGUUGAAAAUCAUUAUUUGUCAAAUUUUGUGAAAAAAGCUCAAGCUUCUUUUAGAAAUGUUUCUCGAAACACUUGUUAUAAAGAUGGUUAUAAACUGUGCGAAAAUGAAAUUAUUGGUUUGAAAAAUUUGUUUUCUAAAUUAACUACGAAAAUUUCAUUAACUACGGACUUAUGGCUUGGGAGACAAGGCUUGCACUAUUUAUGUGUUACGGCUCAUUGGGUAAAUGAAAAUUUCAUGUUAGAAAAAAAUAAUAGAAUUUUCAUCACUUGGGCAUCCACAUGAUGGUCUAUCUAUAUAUCAUGUCUUCUUUGAAUUAUUGGGAAAUAAAUGAUAAGAUCAUGUCUAUUACAUUGGAUAAUGCUUCAAAAAAUGGCAAAGCUAUAGACUAUUUCAAAAAAAUUUGAAGCCAAGUUUUGAUGCUAAAUUUUUCCAUAUUCGUUGUGUCAUAUCUUACAUCUUUGCGUAUGUGAUGGAGAUUGUUUGCUUUAUAUUAUAUUAUCAUCGAUUAGAUUGCAAAAAUAUAGGAGGAUGGUGAAAAAUGCAAAAAUGAAAUUAAAACUUCCUUAUAUUGAUUUAAAAACUAGAUGGUCUUCAACUUAUAAAAUGCUGAUGGAAGCAAAACCUUAUUCUUCAAUAAUAAUACGUUAUUUGGAAGAAGAAAAAAAUUCUAGUAUUAUUGCCAUUAGUAAGAAGAAUUGGGAGAUUGUUGAUAUAUUGAUUCCUCUUUUGCAAACAUUUAAUAAUAUGACUAAUAUCAUGUCCGGUUGUUACUAUCCUACUUCUAAUAUUAUGUUGCGUGAUAUGGUUAAUAUUGAUAAAUUAUUUGAUGAACAUAGAAAUAUAGAAAAUGUGAGAGAAAUUAUUGCAAAAAUGGAGACUAAAUGGAGAAAUUAUUAUGAAAGUGUUCCUUUUAGUGCUAUUUUUUCUUAUUUUUUUAUAUCCAAGAUGCAAAAAGGAUGGUUGUGAAGUUUAUCUUGAAGAAUAUUACUUAUGUCUUGUGCUAUUUUUCUUAUAUUUUAAUAUUUUACACAUUUUGAAUUUAGUAUUACUAGUAUUAUUUACGUCUACACUUAAAAAAUAAAUAAAAUAUUGCUAUAUUAAAUAAAAUUCCCUAGGUUUACUAAAACCAAACUACAGCUUUGCACUGCUUCUUCUCAAUCAUAGUCUCUUCCAAACUUCUUCAAUUUAUCCUCUUUUUCAAUUUUCUCAUGAAGCUUUUUGUGUUUUCUUCUAAUUCUCAUCCUCAUUUCUCUUCCAUUGAGACGAAGCAGCCAUAGCGUGGGGUGGAGUUGUUAGGAUUGGUAUACUCAAAAGCAUAUUUUCGAGCAUUUUGCACGGAUAGAAUUGCUUGUAUACAAUAAUUCUACAAUCCACUUUUAACCCAAGACGAGAAGAAGUAAUUUUAUCGCAUUGGUGUUUGCUUAUGCAUUUAUAAGAUGUUUUC